rnacentral:misc_RNA from 1 species
GGUAACUUAUAAUUAUCUAUCAAUAGGUAAUAUCGCAGGUGCGCUGUCAAGCUGUCGCAUCGGCUGACGAGCCGCUGCAACAGUCUAACGUUAACGCAACUCAUAAUCGCUUAUACUCCUGCUUGCUACGGGACUUGUUCAGGAAUCACCGUAGCUGAUGGUCAAAAUUUUCAUACAAAAAAUAGGGAUCCCAAAUAUAAAAUUCAGUCAUAAAAUCCCCCAAAGUAAACGUCCGCCUCGAAACGCACUGUGAUAUAUUCUUUCUAUCGGUCAACGAUCGAUCACAACCGUAAAUCAAGGACAAGAAUAAAAGUAAGCCGCUUACCUUCGAAAGCACGAGAAACUCCACCGAAAGAAAAUCGUCGCAAGGAACCGCCUGGCGCUGAAAAUGAAGGAAAUGAAAGAGAUGGAUCGCGUGAGGGGGGUACGAGAUUCUUCAAGAACGAAGCCCGCAUAUAUU